AGAGUAUUAAUUUCUCAAGGGAAACAUAAUACUUUGGGUUUUUUUUUUUUUUUUUUGCUUCUUCUAUCUUCUAUAGAGCUUAGUAAUAGUCACCGGCAGGCAGAAUUCCUUAAAUAUUUGAAUUCUGCUGUAUCUUAGGCUCUCAUGUCUUCAAAUCUAUAACCCUUAGGCUCCAAUUUAAUACCUUGGGAGGACAGCCUGGCUCUCUGUUCCUCUGCACAGCUACCCAGCUUAAGUUAUAAAACAGGGCAACAGAGGUCUAUAAUGUUCCUUUCAACUGCCACUUAGCCCCCAAUCAAGGAUUGAUUUGUAAGUCAAUCCUUUCAUCAAUUCUCAGUGAGCAACAAUCUAAUGUUAUCCUUGCUCCUAUUUCUUAACUAGCCCCUAUAACUUCCUGUCACUUGCUCCAAACUAAAACAUUACAAGAUUCACCACUGUGUGUGAUUCUCAGCUAUUCACCUUCUCUUAGCAAUUUUCCCUUGGUUUGGUAAUGAUGAGACACCAACAAUAAAUAUUUGCAGAGGAAGUUCAGAUUCAAAAAUUCAUCUUUCUCUGAUGAAGUAAGGUAAAGGUACCACUGCCAACUGACUGAAAAUUUUGAAAAAAGACAAAGUCUGGGGCAAUUUGACAGCCCAUAAAUGAAUCAUCUUCUACAUAGUUUUAAAAAACUAUAACUAAAACUAUAGUUUUAAAAAAACUGUAUAACUAAAAGGUCUUUUACUGGGAUUGGAAUUUUGUGCAUCUAUUUGGCUGGACAUAGUAUGGACACUGGGCCUUCUAAACCAAGGUUUCAUGGAAAGAAUUAACCCCUAAUUCCUUAGGCAUCUCUUGUAUGUAAUAAAUUACCUAGUAUCAUUCAAGAAAUAUGUAUAGAGAAAAGUCAGGUGCCCUCCAGAAGAGUCCCUCAAAUCAUUUUCUAUGUUCUGUGAUUUCAGACGAGAAACCCCAGCUGAGGAGGCAAAUAUACUCAAGGAAAGUAAUAGUUUCCAAAUGCCUGGCAGUGCCAGGAAGGGGCCAUGUCCAUGGACCACUAUGUAAGGAUAUCUCAGUCUCUAGUCCAGCGUGGUUUAUGGUGCCAAAUAAGUGCCAGGUGAACUCACUACAUCUGACAAAAUCUCAAGGAACCAAGUUUACCAGAUAAUAUUUAUGAUUAUGUGAAAAAGACUGAGGAAAUCACUCAAGUGAUCCAUCAUACAGCACCUCCAGUUCCAAAGAAUACUGACUUACUUCAGCUGUACUGGUCUGGAGCUGCACAUUCUUUUCAGACAACUCUUGUUCCAGUAAGUUCAGGCUAGAGUGCAAUGGUGCAACCUCAGCUCACUGCAACCUCCGCUUCCCAGGUUCAAGCGAUUCUCCUGCUUCAGCCUCCCUGGUUGCUGGGAUUACAGGUGACUCUUCUCCUGUAACAGAGCCUCCUUCUUAGAAACUAUGGCCUCCCGUUUCUUUAAGUCUGCUUCCAGCUCCUCUAAUUCUUGGCGUUGGUUCAGAACUUUCUCUACUUCUUCAUCUAACCAUUUCUUUUGCUCAUCCAAUUUCUACAUUAAAAUUAAAAAAAAAGUUACUUGUU
ensembl:lncRNA novel transcript, antisense to KIF27